GAUGAACGCUGGCGGUGUGCCUAAUACAUGCAAGUCGAGCGAACAGACGAGGAGCUUGCUCCUCUGACGUUAGCGGCGGACGGGUGAGUAACACGUGGAUAACCUACCUAUAAGACUGGGAUAACUUCGGGAAACCGGAGCUAAUACCGGAUAAUAUAUUGAACCGCAUGGUUCAAUAGUGAAAGACGGUUUUGCUGUCACUUAUAGAUGGAUCCGCGCCGCAUUAGCUAGUUGGUAAGGUAACGGCUUACCAAGGCGACGAUGCGUAGCCGACCUGAGAGGGUGAUCGGCCACACUGGAACUGAGACACGGUCCAGACUCCUGCGGGAGGCAGCAGUAGGGAAUCUUCCGCAAUGGGCGAAAGCCUGACGGAGCAACGCCGCGUGAGUGAUGAAGGUCUUCGGAUCGUAAAACUCUGUUAUUAGGGAAGAACAAAUGUGUAAGUAACUAUGCACGUCUUGACGGUACCUAAUCAGAAAGCCACGGCUAACUACGUG
rnacentral:rRNA from 1 species